rnacentral:rRNA from 1 species
GUGAGGAAUAUUGCACAAUGGACGAAAGUCUGAUGCAGCGAUCCCGCGUGAAGGAUGAAGCCCUAUGGGGUGUAAACUUCUUUUCUGGUAGAAGACGAAUGACGGUAUACCAGGAAUAAGAGACGGCUAACUACGUGCCAGCAGCCGCGGUAAUACGUAGGUCUCGAGCGUUAUCCGGAUUUACUGGGCGUAAAGUGUCCGUAGCCCGAUAUAUAAGUCUGUUUUCAAAUCUCUCAGCUCAACUGGGAAAAGGGGAUAGAUACUGUAUAUCUAGAGAUUGUUAGAGGUUAGUGGAAUUUCCGGUGGAGCGGUGAAAUGUGUUGAUAUCGGAAAGAAUGCCGAAAGCGAAAGCAGCUAACUAUGAUAAAUCUGACGGUGAGGGACGAAAGCUUGGGUAGCAAAUGGGAUUAGAUACCCCAGUAGUCC